rnacentral:lncRNA from 1 species
CUGAAAAUAAUUGUUUCUUUCCUUUCUUUCAUCAAAUAUAUUUUCUGUUGCCCUUCUUCUUGCUUACCUCUUAACCACUGAAAAAUUAUUGUAUUUUUCAUCUAAGAAUGUGAAGUCCAGCAAUAUAAUAGGUGUGAAUGGAGAUCAGAGAAGAUUUUGGAAUAGUUUCCUUCUCGGUGCCGGCCACCUCUAUUGCUACUUGAUCUUUGAUAACUUUAAGGAUAUUUCACUUAUUUUAACAGGAAAAAGUUGUUAACAGUACUUAUAUUCAUUAAUUUUUUUUAAUUUCAAUACUUUUAUCCAAAUAUUUAACUGCUUAUUUAUAAAAUAUAUUCUGAC